ACAUCUGCUAAAUAUGUGUAUGGACCAAUACAAUUUUAUUUGAAAAAAUGUAAUUUGAUUUGAUUACUUUUCGUAUGGUUUCAGCUAGGGGGCAGCGUCAUUUAGUUACUUAUGGUGCGUGCAAGACAACUGGGAACUCGGAAAAUACGAGAUCAAAUCGUCCGUGAUCAUAAGGUCGGAAAUUCGGAGGUUUAAAAAAGAGGCACGAAUUCCUGACUUGGAAUUCGGAUUUGGAUGACCGUUCAAACUAACUUUCCCAGUCGGAGCUCGUUUUUGUUCGAGUUCCCAGUCAUCUUGAAUGCAUUGAAGUCGGCGAUUUCCGAGCUCCAGUUGGAGCACUUCUGUUGGGAUGACGUUCGUUGUCUCCUCUUCAAAAAGCGUGUCCACACCAACAACCCGUCCUAGUAUGCCAUACUCCGACACUGAUAAUGUAUUAGUCUAGUAAUUCGUUCUGCGUUUGAGAGGAGAAAGAAUUAUGAAGUCUGGCUCGGAGGCUCCCAUUCAGUCAGAGGAGAGCGAGACGCAGAAGCAUGGAUUUGGGAAAUGGCUUCCAGAAACGCACAGACCAUGCAGCAUACACAGAAAACGAUGGGGGCUACAUUUCAACAGAUCCUGUCACAGUAUCUCCAUAGCAACUCAACAUAGACAUGAAGCUCCAUCCUGAGUCUCCACCCUACCACCACAGACCUCCUGUGACCAGCAAUACUCUUUCAUAAACCUGGGUCGUAAUUCACUAGACACCAAACAGAAGAAAACAGACAAAAACGUGUGCACUAAUAAAUAUGACCCUGGAUACUGUGUAGCAUCAGUAAACUCACUCACGUUCUCCUUCACUUAACAACUAUGAACAACAAAGUACUUCUGACAGUCGUCCAGUAAGAAGGAAGAUUGGAUCUCCAUUCAUUGCCAAACCACCGACCAACUGGACUCAGCAUCUCUCUCUCUCUCUCGCCAUCUCUCUCGGUUGAAUGUUAAGCACAGACAGACUGGUACCCAGUGCCCAGGCUACUCACACCCUCAAAGCACUUUAUUCUUUCAUUUAUGCACCUUUUUGUGGCAUUGUAUUGUCUAUGCUGGCUCUAUUCAUUUCUGUGUCUUGUCAAAUUUCCAGCGAUAAAAGUAUGCUAAUUAGUCAUGUGGAAUUUAUACUGUGGAAUUUAUACUGUGGAAUUUAUACUGUGGAAUUUAUACUGUGGAAUGCACAAGUGGAAACGGGAUCAACUUAAGGCUUUGAUGCCAUCAUGCAAGAAUGUUUUUAAACUGAACUGUUCUAUUGGUCUAGCAUUUAUUUUUAUUUUUAUGAGACUUGUUUUAAAAUGAUUUCACUCUGUGACUUCAGUAAUUCUAAUCUCUCUCUCUCUACAUUAAAAGCUCAAAACCAUUUAGUGACGCUGUUAAAUGGACACUAGAUGAGGUAGAUGUUUCUAUUUUUAAUCAUGUCCAUGUUCUUAUGUAACCUGCAAUUCCGUUUUCUUUAUUGUAAACUGCUUAAGUGCACCAUUGUAGCACAUGCAUUUGUGUAAAUUAAACCUGUCUAUAUAUCUGA